rnacentral:rRNA from 1 species
GGUGCGGCGGCGUGCUACUCUCCCACACCCUGUCGGGUGCAGUACCAUCGCCGUGCCAGGCCUUAGCUUCCGGGUUCGGAAUGGGACCGGGCGUCUCUCCUGGGCCAUGGCCGCCG